UUGAUCCUGGCUCAGAAUCAACGCUGGCGGCGUGCCUCAGACAUGCAAGUCGAACGCGAAAUUUCCCUUCGGGGAGAAAGUAGAGUGGCGCACGGGUGAUUAACACGUGGGUAAUUUACCUUCGGGUGGGGAAUAACGUCUCGAAAGAGUCGCUAAUACCGCAUGAUGCAGCGGCACCACAUGGUGACAGUUGUUAAAGUGGGGGAUCGCAAGACCUCGCGCCUGAAGAGAAGCCCGCGGCAGAUUAGCUAGUUGGUAAGGUAAUGGCUUACCAAGGCAACGAUCUGUAGCCGGCCUGAUAGGGCGGUCGGCCACACUGACACUGAAUAACGGGUCAGACUCCUACGGGUGGCAGCAGUCGGGAAUUUUGGGCAAUGGGCGCAAGCCUGACCCAGCAACUCCGCGUGAAGGAUGAAGUAUUUCGGUAUGUAAACUUCACAAGAAUGGGAUGAAUAAGUAGGGGACAAUACCCCCUAUGAUGACGGUACCAUUUGUAAGCUCCGGCUAACUCCGUGCCAGCAGCCGCGGUAAUAAGGU
rnacentral:rRNA from 1 species